GACGAACGCUGGCGGCGUGCCUAAUACAUGCAAGUCGAACGCAGUGGGGACGGGUGAUUAACACGUGGGUAACCUCCCAUCAGAGGGGAUAACACUUGGAAACAGGUUAUAAACCGAUACAGAUGGAUGGACCUGCUAUGCUUUCGCUAGUUGGUGGGGUAACGGCUCAACAAGGCCACGAUGCAUAGCCGACCUGAGAGGGUGAUCAGCCACACGGGGACUGAGACACGGCCCAGACUCCUACGGGAGGCAGCAGUAGGGAAUCUUCGGCAAUGGACGAAAGUCUGACCGAGCAACGCCGCGUGAGUGAAGAAGGUUUUCGGAUCGUAAAACUCUGUUGUUAGAGAAGCGGUAUCUAACCAGAAAGCCACGGCUAACUACGUGCCAGCAGCCGCGGUAAUUC
rnacentral:rRNA from 1 species